AAUUUAGGACAAUGGGGGUAACCCUGUUCUAGCAAUGCUGUGUUUGUUAAGAAGGUCUUCGGAUUGUAAAUCUCUUUUGGUUGAGACGAAGGAGUAUAGGAUAAUAUGCUGAUACUUUGACGUUACCUUAUGAUUAAGCCUCGGCUAACUAUGUGCGAGCAGCCGCGGUAAUACGUAGGUUGCAAGCGUUAAGCGGAAUUAGUGGGCGUAAGGCGCGCGCAGGCGGUCCAGUAAGAUGGGUGUGAAAUCCCCGGGCUUAACCGAGGAAGUGCUUUGAUAGCUGGGGGGCUAGAGUACGGAAGAGGAUAGUGGAAUUUCAUGUGUAGCGGUGAAAUGCGUAGAUAUUGGAAGGAACGCCAGUGGCGAAGGCGACUUCCUGGUCUGUUACUGACACUGAGGUGCGAAAGCGUGGGGAGCAAACA
rnacentral:rRNA from 1 species